AAGAUUUUAAGAUAAUUAAUCUAUUAACCUUCAAAGUUAAAUAUAUACUAUAUAAAAUUUAUAUAAAUCUUA
rnacentral:tRNA from 1 species